rnacentral:rRNA from 1 species
CCUANGGGAGGCUGUAGUCGAGAAUUUUUCACAAUGGGGGCAACCCUGAUGCAGCGACGCCGCGUGAGCGAUGAAGCCCUUCGGGGUGUAAAGCUCUUUCGGCAGGAACGAUUAUGACGGUACCUGCAGAAGAAGCUGCGGCUAACUACGUGCCAGCAGCCGCGGUAAUACGUAGGCAGCAAGCGUUGUUCGGAAUUACUGGGCGUAAAGAGUGUGUAGGCGGUUCGCCAAGUCUGGCGUGAAAUCUCCCGGCUUAACUGGGAGGGUGCGCCGGAUACUGGCGGGCUAGAGUGCGGGAGAGGAGAGCGGAAUUCCUGGUGUAGCGGUGAAAUGCGUAGAUAUCAGGAGGAACACCUGCGGUGUAGACGGCUCUCUGGACCGCCACUGACGCUGAGACACGAAAGCGUGGGGAGCAAACAGGAUUAGAUACCCUANUANUC